AACGAACGCUGGCGGCAUGCCUAACACAUGCAAGUCGAACGAGACCUUCGGGUCUAGUGGCGCACGGGUGCGUAACGCGUGGGAACCUGCCCUUAGGUUCGGAAUAACUCCCCGAAAGGGGUGCUAAUACCGGAUAAUGUCUUCGGACCAAAGAUUUAUCGCCUUUGUAUGGGCCCGCGUUGGAUUAGCUAGUUGGUAGUGUAAAAGCCUACCAAGGCGCCGAUCCAUAGCUGGUCUGAGAGGAUGAUCAGCCACACUGGGGCUGAGACACGGCCCAGACUCCUACGGGAGGCAGCAGUGGAGAAUAUUGGAGAAUGGACGAAAGCGUGAGCCAGCAAUGCCGCGUGAGUGAUGAAGGCCGUAGUGUUGUAAAGCGCUUUUACCCGGGAUGAUAAUGACAGUACCGGGAGAAUAAGCUCCGGCUAACUCCGUG
rnacentral:rRNA from 1 species